rnacentral:rRNA from 1 species
CCAAUAGCGUAUAUUAAAGUUGUUGCAGUUAAAAAGCUCGUAGUUGAAUUUCGGGGUCAGUAGGUCGGUCGUGCCACUGGUAUGAACUGGUUUCACUGAUUCCUCCCUCUUGUAGAACCGUGAUGCCAUUAAUUUGGUGUUGCGGGGAAACAGGACUGUUACUUUGAAAAAAUUAGAGUGUUUAAAGCAAGCUAACGCUUGAAUACAUUAGCAUGGAAUAAUGAAAUAGGACGUCGAUCUUAUUUUGUUGGUUUCUAGGGUUGACGUAAUGAUUAAUAGGGAUAUUUGGGGGCAUUAGUAUUCAAUUGUCAGAGGUGAAAUUCUUGGAUUUAUUGAAGACUAACUACUGCGAAAGCAUUUGCCAAGGAUGUUUUCAUUAAUCAAGAACGAAAGUUAGGGGAUCGAAGACGAUCAGAUACCGUCGUAGUCUUAACCAUAAACUAUGCCGACUAGGGAUCGGAUGAUGUUAAUUUUUUAAUGACUCAUUCGGCGCCUUACG